UACCAGCACCCCGAGCGGUCGGGACGAUUAUUGGGCCUAAAGCAUCCGUAGCCGGUUUUACAAGUCCUCCGUUAAAUCCAGCUGCUUAACAGAUGGGCUGCGGAGGAUACUAUAAGACUAGGAGGCAGGAGAGGCAAGCGGUACUCAGUGGGUAGGGGUAAAAUCCGUUGAUCCAUUGAAGACCACCAGUGGCGAAGGCGGCUUGCCAGAAUGCGCUCGACGGUGAGGGAUGAAAGCUGGGGGAGCAAACCGG
rnacentral:rRNA from 1 species